rnacentral:tRNA from 1 species
ACGGGUGUAGCUCAAUCGGUAGAGCACCGGCCUCCAAAUCCGACGGUUGCGGGUUCGAUUCCUGCCGCCCGUGC